UCCUCGCUAGUAUAUCGGUUAGUAUAUUCGCCUCUCAUUAGAGAGCUAGUCACUUGACAACAUCGCGAAAGAGCAGGGUUCAACUCCCUGGCGGGGAA